UCCAAAUUUAUUUAUGUAUAGUACAUAAAGACCUUCACGGAUCGAAAAAUCCAGAGUCCUCAAUGUCGAAAUCCUUCUCAGCUCUUCAUCACGAUCUCAUCCAGUUAUCUGAACCAAUCCGACAAUCUCUAUUGAAAGCUCAGUACAAUCCACCAGAAGCCUCUAAUGUCUCCGUCAAGUCCAUGCUCGAGUCCCUUCUUCCUCAAACCAACUCGCCAUCGAACCCCGACUUCUCCGAAGCUGAAAUUCGUAGCAAACUCAAAGAUUUCGGUCUAUGCUGCGCGGCAUUAGCUUCCUCUGCAGGCUCGACCUACGACCAGCUUUCAUGGAUCCCCAAUUCGCUCUCUCUCGACGCCGACUCAGCCUUUCGAUACCUCUCGAAAGCUUUUUCCGGCUGCUUGAAGCAAGGGUUGUCAACGAAAAUUGGUGAAUUGGAUUUCGAUUUGAGAUUGAUGUCGGACGAGAAGAAAUUGGCGGCUGAAUUGAUGGUUCAAGUGUUGCCUUCGUUGAAAGCGAGCAUUAAGGAAAGUUCGAUUGAUAAGUCGGAGGAUGGUGAUGAGGUUUCGGCUGCGGUGGCGAGGUCUCCUGUUGCUCAUGCCAUUGUGGCUGCUUAUCAGUUUAGGUGGUUUGUGACCCAGGUUGACUACCCACAUUUGGGAAGGUUGUGCUCUUUGGUGAUUCCUUGUGCAUUGACAUCUCUCGAUCACUGGUCACCGGAAGUGAAAGGGCAGGGCAUGAUUAGUUUUAUACAUCUUGCAAAAAAUGUGAAUGCUGCUGAGCUUAGUUGGUAUGAAGAUGUAAUCCUUGAUGCAUGCUGUCAGAAUAUUGUUUCUAGUGAUGAGAUAUGGCACCUUGCGGUUGAGAUGUCAGUAGCUCUACUGACUUGUAUACAGCCGAGUAAUCCUCGCAGCUCAUGGAUUGAAAGGAUGCUAAGUGAGAUGUUGAGUCACUUGGAGCGCCAACCAAGAAAUAAGGAGCGCCGUCUAGCAUGGCUUAAGCACAUUGAGCAACUUUUCAAUGUUGUGGGUCUUGUAUUGCUGGCUCAUUUCAGACGUAUUUUUCCACUUUUCUUUCAGUGGAUGCAUACUGAUGAUGAUGAAACAAUUUUGCUGGUUCUUGAACGGGUCCAUACGGUUAUUAAGUUAACUUGGAUAAGGAACACGCCAUAUAUUGAAAGACUGGUAGAUGAACUGGCUACUCUAUACAAGGAGGCAGCAUUAAAAAUUGCUCGUGAAGAAAUUAGAGCACAUAUUCUUCAGAUUCUAAUCUUGCUUCAGCAAUGCAAAGGGCCACAGUUUAAAGCAGCUUGGGACAAGCACAAGGAUGACCCAAACUUGACAGCUCUUGAACCAUCCUUGAGUUGUAUGGUUGUUCAAUGAUGAUGACAGAAGAAUCCGAGAUACUGCAUUCCCUGGGUUUAAAUGUCCAAAAGGAUCAUCAAUGAGCAGUUUGCUGUAAAAAGCAGAUUUUCCUGGAUCUGAAGUCCCUUGUGCAUAGAGGUUAAGGCACCACCGAGCAACCUCUUAUGCCACAAUCGAGGUUCAAACUAACUUAGAUCAUGCACAACAUCACCAUUAUUGGUCAGGUAAGUUUUUUCUUUUUAUUGUUUUAUUUUGAAAUACAAACACAUCUCUUUUAUAGGUCGAGGAUUAUUUUUCACCUAUUAUAUUUAAUUUCCUCAUAAGAAAAUGCUUUUUUUCUAAUAUUUUAUAGGUGGAUGGAGAUUUAAAGCAAACCAUAAGAUGAGCUCCCUUUCUCGUUUUCUUAUUCAAUCUACAUUUUUUUUUAAAAUAUGAUGAGCAGCCUUUGUAUAUAAUGAGCGUGACUUUAAUGUGAUCCACACAUAAGUGUUCUUUCAUUCAUAAUUUGAUUUCCCCCCUUCAAUAAUCUGAAUAAUUUAUUUAUUUGUUUGCUUAUCAAAUUCAAACUGUAGAAUCUUACGAUUGCUUUUAUUUGUUUUUCUAUUUUGAAUUUGGUAUUGCCGAUUUUGAAUU